ACGCUCGACACCUACGGGNGGCAGCAGUGGGGAAUAUUGCACAAUGGGGGAAACCCGUGAUGCAGCGACGCCGCGUGAGCGAAGAAGUAUUUCGGUAUGUAAAGCUCUAUCAGCAGGGAAGAAACUGACGGUACCUGACUAAGAAGCACCGGCUAAAUACGUACCAGCAGCCGCGGUAAUCUGAGCGGGCUGGCAAGGC
rnacentral:rRNA from 1 species